GCCUUUUUUUUCUCUCUCUCACUUUUUAAAUUUUUUUUAUUUUUUUGAGUCUCAAUCGUGUGGACAUCACUGGGAAUGGAGGGAAAUAACUGACUGAAUGGUCGUUGCUUUUAAGUUUCAAACCGACAUUCCAGGCGGGUUGUGUCUGAGCCAGCCUCGGGCUUUCAGACCUUCACAGCCUGGUCCUGAGAAGGUAGAGCUCUCAGCUUCUCCCUGAAUAACUGGGAGAUGAAACAGGAAACUUUAUGACACACUUGCUUGAAAAUGACACAGGACUCAGCCCCUCUGCAUCACCUCUACCUGCUGCCCACAGCCGAGUGCGGGGGAAGGGCUGGCCCUGGGACCUGAUUCCAACCGCCGUGGACUCGACGUUCAGUGUGAUGUGUCUGCCAUACUGUGGUCAUGGGCUAGUCUGGUCGGUUUCCUAUGUAGCUGGCCACUCUCGGUGUAUCUUUGCCCCUUUUCCUUCAUUAAAAGCAUAACUAAAGAAAAA